CCACCAACUUGAUGCCAAAUCCCCACAUCACUAUUUUAGAGAACUCUCCAAACACUAUGGCCCCAUCAUGUCCUUCAAACUUGGUUCAACCCAAGCUCUUGUUAUUUCCUCAUCAAAAUUAGCCAAAGAAGUGUUAAAGACACAUGACCUCAAAUUUGCAAGUAGGCCACCUUACUUAGGCCUAAGGAAAUUGUCAUAUAAUGGCUUGGACUUAGGUUUUGCACCUUAUAGCCCUUAUUGGAGAGAGAUGAAGAAGCUUUGUGUUUUGCACCUUUUUAGCUCUCAAAGGGUCCAUUCUUUUAGACCCUUUAGAGAACAAGAGGUUGCAAACAUGAUUAGGAGGAUAUCCCAACAUGAAGAUUCAAACAAAGUUGUAAACUUGAGUGACACUUUGAUGUUUUUUACCAACACUUUGAUAUGUAAAAUGACAGACAUAGUAGUAAACAUGACCAAGCUAAAAUGCAAACAAUUUCAGCUAAGGACGUAAUAACUAAUUUGAAGUUCAUGGGCUAUUUCUUUAGCAGUCAUGAUAGACUAUUAACAAUGAGUGGUACUUGACCAGUAAAUUAGAUUUAGAUUGUGUUUUUUUUAGUUGGUUACAUGGUGAAAUAAGUUGUAUGAGUUCCAACAAGGUGUAUGCAUGUUGGGAUAAAUUAUUUCAUUAAUUCAAAUCAUCUAUACUGAAUCACAAAAAAGUAUAUAUAUCAUAGUGCGAAAAUGUAUUUUUAGUCAUAGAAAUUAGAAAUUAAUUGAAAAAUUAUCUCAGUCUUAAUUAAAAUCUUUUAUAUCUUUAAUAGGAUGACUGAAUUGUAACUCCUCUGAUAAAAAAAAGAAUUAUUGAGGCGGUUUUGGUAUAUCGAAGACUAAAAUCCUGAAGUCACUAUUUAUAUUUGAGCACGACAGAAUUUUAGUCUUUAAUAUACUAAAGCCGCCUCAAUAACUCUUUUUCUAUCGGAGGAGUUACAAUUCAGCCGUCCUAUUAAGGAUAUAAAAGAUUUUAAUUGAAUAAGUUUGAGACAACUUUAAUUGAAAUCACCUGCAUUUUAGUUUGGUCAUGUUCACUAUCAUUUUCGUUAUUUCACUAUCUAACUAGGGAUGUUUUAGGAAUUGCGCCAUAUGCUAUCAACAAAAUUUAAACCACCUAUCUAUUCGUACCUGGUACAUCGCUAUUUCAAUAAAAUGAAUGAAACAGGUGAAAAUUUUCCUAGACUUUAUAAUAAAUUCAAAUUUAUCCUACUCCACUCAUUUUCUUCUUUUUCUUUUAUUACAUAGUAUAAUUUCUUAUUUAUACUCUCAAUAAUUUCUAAUAAGCCUAACUAUUAUUUAUUAUUGGUCCGUUCUAUUAAUUAAAUUCUACAUAAAAAACAAAGACAUGUUUGGUUCUAUAAAUUUGAAAGAUGGUGAUAGAAUUUGUAUGUUUGCAAGAUGGAGAGCCUAGUUGUUAUUCUAAGUUUAGUAUCCAUCUUUGUUCUCUUCAUUAUCACACAAAGAAACACAAGAACAAGAUCAAGAACACCACUUCCUCCUGGCCCUAAAGGCCUUCCUCUAAUUGGAAAUCUCCACCAACUUGAUGCCAAAUCCCCACAUCACUAUUUUAGAGAACUCUCCAAACACUAUGGCCCCAUCAUGUCCUUCAAACUUGGUUCAACCCAAGCUCUUGUUAUUUCCUCAUCAAAAUUAGCCAAAGAAGUGUUAAAGACACAUGACCUCAAAUUUGCAAGUAGGCCACCUUACUUAGGCCUAAGGAAAUUGUCAUAUAAUGGCUUGGACUUAGGUUUUGCACCUUAUAGCCCUUAUUGGAGAGAGAUGAAGAAGCUUUGUGUUUUGCACCUUUUUAGCUCUCAAAGGGUCCAUUCUUUUAGACCCUUUAGAGAACAAGAGGUUGCAAACAUGAUUAGGAGGAUAUCCCAACAUGAAGAUUCAAACAAAGUUGUAAACUUGAGUGACACUUUGAUGUUUUU
rnacentral:lncRNA from 1 species